AAUGCAGGUCUGCAAUUGCAGCACUUCAACUGUGGAGUGCUGUCAUUAACCCUGCAGAGAGCAUAUUUCUCCAUUGGAGUAUUCCUCCAUUUCACAAUU
rnacentral:snoRNA from 1 species